rnacentral:ncRNA from 2 species
GGAUGUUCCGAGGGGUGCUCCGUGGGGGAGCUGAGAUACCGCAAGCUUGCAAUUCGAAGAUGAAUCGCAAGGACCGCGGUGACCCUUUGAACCUGAUCCGGGUCAUGCCGGCGAAGGGACAGGGAUGCUUCAGAAG